rnacentral:rRNA from 1 species
UACGGGAGGCAGCAGUAAGGAAUAUUGGUCAAUGGACGCAAGUCUGAACCAGCCAUGCCGCGUGGAGGAUGAAGGUCCUCUGGAUUGUAAACUUCUUUUAUCGGAGAAGAAACCCCGACAUUCUUGUUGGGUUGACGGUACCCGAGAAUAGCCGCG